rnacentral:rRNA from 1 species
UGCAAGUCGAACGCCCCGCAAGGGGAGUGGCAGACGGGUGAGUAACGCGUGGGAACAUACCCUUUCCUGCGGAAUAGCUCCGGGAAACUGGAAUUAAUACCGCAUACGCCCUACGGGGGAAAGAUUUAUCGGGGAAGGAUUGGCCCGCGUUGGAUUAGCUAGUUGGUGGGGUAAAGGCCUACCAAGGCGACGAUCCAUAGCUGGUCUGAGAGGAUGAUCAGCCACAUUGGGACUGAGACACGGCCCAAACUCCUACGGGAGGCAGCAGUGGGGAAUAUUGGACAAUGGGCGCAAGCCUGAUCCAGCCAUGCCGCGUGAGUGAUGAAGGCCUUAGGGUUGUAAAGCUCUUUCACCGAUGAAGAUAAUGACGGUAGUCGGAGAAGAAGCCCCGGCUAACUUCGUGCCAGCAGCCGCGGUAAUACGAAGGGGGC